CCACAUACAAGUAGAGAUGCGAUACAAUUUAGUAUGAGCUUUUUAAAUUUCCUCUCAACUCCAAAAGAAAUUAAAUCAUGCAACAUAUUAGGUUAAUAGGUGAUAAACUUUCCUUUUACAGAAUAAUCAAUUGAAUUCUGGCUUUGCAAAAUGCAUAUUUCUAUAACAAUAUUUCCAUCUACUGAAGGAAAGCAUGUGUCUCUUCUACUUUCGGAGUAGCUGCACACUCUCUGGCCGAUCUCUCUUCUUUAUAUGAUCUCUCCACAUCCCGUAGGUAAUUGGUCAAGCCUUCUCUAUGUUUCACCUUGUUUUGUAAAUUUGAGGAAUCAUUUUUCCACCCGAUUGGAAGGAUUAACCGCAUGUUUCACCGUACUAUAUUCUGGUAUAAUAAGGUAGUAGAGUAUAGCAUACUAUAAUGAUAUCAAAUACAAGACCAGUUAAGGAAUUGUAAUAGUACAAAAUAUGGGCAAGAUACAAGUACAUUAAAAAAAAAUAUCAGCAAGGUAGAACAAGAUUUUUUUUUUUCUCUAUGCAACCUAUAAAGGAGAGAUAUUGUUAAUUUAAUGAAAGAAAUAGCUAUGGGAAGACAUAAAGUGAGGGUUGGAGACAUUAACUUUUUUCUGAAAAUUAUAUGUAAGCUAAAAGAAUUCACAUUGUUGAUCCCAGUUAUCAAUAACCAAGCUGCAGGUAGCAUUUUUAACCAGCCCCCUCUUUGUAUAUCUCUUUCAUUUGGCUUUUCCAACAGUAGAUACUUGCUAAGAUUCCAAGACAUUCCAAAAUGGAGUGGUCGAUAUUGAAGAACCUAAUUGUUUACAACUUCACUCUUGCUAAGAAGUCUAUUCAGGUGUAAACCAAUGUAGUAAAAUAGAAACUUUUUUUCUAUAGAAGAGGAGAAGAGGAAGGUGAAACAAAAGUAUAUAAUUUUAUCAAACACAUUUACAUGAUCAAUAUGGAUGCAUAGGCUCAUAUUUUACAAAACAUAGAGAAAAUGAACCAUCUGUUUUCUCGAUGGAAGCAUAUCUGGUGGUGUAAAAAUCAAAUACUCAGUAAGUAGUAUAGUGAAGAGUUGCCCAUAAACGUAGAGAUUAUAGGGGUAUAAUUCUAACCUUUUCUGGAAAUAAAUCAAGAGCCGCCAACAAUAACAUUCUCCUGAAUUCUAGAUGAUGGCUCAACCGGAUCCAUAGAACUUGUGCUCAAACGAAGGUGGUUACUUGUUAUUUCUUGCUUUUUGAGGCGCUUUCAGUCAUGUCGCUUUUUAUAUUUAACAACUCUUAUGCCCAACAUUCUACAUGACAUAUUUCAUAUAAUAAGAUUCAGAGGACAUGUUGGUAUAUUAUACACCUUUUUAGUUUAUAACCACAAGAUUUAAAAAUUCUUGUCAAGUCAAAACUAAGACAAACAAAUUAUAAUGGAGGCAACAUAUUUAAGAAAUUUAAAAAGAGAUGAGUAAAGAGAAAGUACUAUACUGAUGCAGACAGUAUAAGACUCAGCCACAAGAGCAGGAGGUUGAACUCGUGUUGUCUGCAGAAUCAUAACAGUCCACUGCAAUCCAAGGCAAAACAAUAGUCUUUUUCUAAUUUUUCACAUUGUCAUCUAUAAGAUUAGGAUUACUUUCACAUUUUUAUCCAAAUGAUUAGGAUUAGCUAAAAUGUGCAGUUUUAGAGAGUCAUCUAACAAUAAAACACGAAUAGAAAUGACAUUUUACACUCGUUUUUAUUUAAUAGUAAAAGAAUUUCCUGUUAGUUAGUUGUUGAUAAAAUCUAGACUGUGACAAUAUAUCUUGGCGUGGUAAGUUUUUUGGGUACUUGAUUGUUCUUAGUACAGUUUCCUAAUGAGAUUUCUUUGGCAUCUGCAUGAAUUGACUUAAGGUUUGGACUGUAAAAGUCACAUAAAGUAACUUUCCAAUCAAUUUUUGAUAGGCAUUAACAUCACAUAAUAGCUCAUCUCCUAUAAUAUUAGUUGCCUCAUCAUACUCUCUAGUAGCGAAAACUCAAGAGUAUGGAUAUGCUCCUCUGUUAUGAUUCCACUCAAAUACUUUCCUCGACUUAUAGUAAAUUUACUUGCAUUCAAGUACUUUAACUUACAUAGAAAAAUAUAAAAUAAAAUCAAAACUUGCGUGUUUGAAAGUGUGAGUUACAUGUGUUUCAAAUGGUAUUCCAAAAAGACAAUAAUUUGUCACCAAUUCUGAAAUAGGGGUCUUGUACUACAACUCUUGCUCCUAAGAUUAAAGUUAAUAAUGGGGUUUAUAUGUGUAUAUUCAUAGGAAUCAAAAUUUGAGAAAGCUUUUAUUGAAUUUGUGAACUCUUACGAAGAAGAAAAGAGAAUGCAGAAACAGAGAUCUCUUGGAAGAAUCUAGAAGAAAGCUACAUUUUAAUGUGUAUCAUGAAUUCAUUGUUUUUCUCAUUUUACAUUUCAGCCUCUAUAUAUAGAGGAUUAUAUUUGGUAUUACUAAUUAAUCUCAUAACUAACAGUGUUAACCACCUAACUAACAACAUAACAAAAGUAAAGCACGUGACUCUAACUAACUUUUGAACUGACCAAUCACAAUACAACAACUCAACUUAUCUAUAUUUCAAUACACCCCCUCAAACUGAAGGGUGGAAGACAUCUAACAUACCAAGUUUGGUCAUGAGGAGAUGAUGUUGACUAGCACCUAGCCCUUCUGUGAGGAUAUCAGCAGGUUGCAUGGUAGUGGACAAGUGCUUAAGUUCAAUGAACCCUGACUUCACCUUCUCUCGAAUGAAAUGACAAUCAAUAUCUAUGUGCUUUGUACGCUCAUGAAAUACUGGAUUUUCAGCUAUUUGGAUGGCUGAUUUGCUGUCUGUGAACACUGAGAUUGGAAUGGCACCUGGAAAGUGUAGUUCAUCUAGUAAUCCUGCUAACCAAAUUGGUUCAGCAACAAGGGUUGCCAAACUUCUAUACUCUGCCUCAGUUGAGCUCCUACUUACUAUCGGCUGCUUCUUUGAUUUCUAAGAAAUAAGAGAAUUUCCAAGUUUUACCAUGUACCAGUUACUAAUCUUCGUGUGUUUGGGCAUGAAGCCCAGUCUGAGUCACAGUAUCCUGUGAGUUUUGUAACACCAAUCCCUCUUAUAAGCAUUACUCCAAGUCCUGAAGAUUUUUUAAUAUAUCUUACAACUCUUAGUGCUGCCUCCCAGUGUGAAACCUUAGGGUUUUGCAUGAAUUUACUCAGAACCUAGACACUGAAGCAAAUCUUAGGUCUGGUAAUUGUCAAAUACAACAAUUUACCAAUCAGUCUUUGGUAUGCUGUAAUAUCUUCCAACUCUGCAUCAUCAGAUCCACCAAUGUGUUGAUCAAACUCUAUACUGGUCAAUUUGUGGUUGAACUCUUAAGGAGUGCUUACAGUUUUUGCUCCACUCAGUCCAGUCUCUAAAAUAAGUUGUAAAGCAUACUUCCUCUGAUUCAGUAAUAACCCCUCUUUAGACUUCAAGAUUUCAAUCCCCAAAAAAUAUCUAAGACUUCCCAAGUCUUUCAUCUUAAAUUUUUUGCGCAGUGUGUCUUUGGCUUCUUGAACCAUUCUGGAGUUAUUCCCAGUUAUUAAAAGAUCAUCAACAUAUACUAAAAUCACAGCCAUUUCAGUUCCUUCCUUUCUAAUGAAAAGAGAGUGAUCAUGUACACUUUGAGAGUAACCUGCUGCCAACAGUGCCUCAGUGAACUUAAUAUUCCAUUGUCUAGAUGCUUGCUUGAGACCAUAGAGUGACUUCCUCAGCUUGCACCCCUUAGAUUCCCUCUGCCCUUGGAAGCCUAUAGGAAGUUCCAUAUAAAUGUCUUCAACUAAAUCACCUUGCAAGAAGGCAUUGUUAACAUCCAUUUGAGAUAGGUCCCAACCAUAGGAAGUUGUCAAGCUAAGCACAGUUCUAAUGGUAACCAUCUUUGCAAAUGGAGAAAAAAGUGUCAUGAUAGUCAAGUCCUUCUCUUUGAGUAUAACCUUUGGCAACUAAUCGAGCUUUGUAUCUAUCCACAUCACCAUUUGACUGGUAUUUGAUCUUGUACACCCACUUUGAUCCAAUUGUUUUCUCACCUGAAGGUAAGUCAACAAUUGUCCAAGUGUUGUUAUCUUCUAAAGCCGUAAGCUCUUGUUGCAUGGCAUCAAUCCACAUCUCAUCCUGUGAUGCUUCAUGAAAAGAUUGAGGUUCCAUAGUUGCUGAAAAAGCCUGCAAAUAGGACAGAUAACCUGAGGAUACAUUAUCAUAACAGACAUGGUUAGUGAUUAGGGUUGGGCAUAAUAUGGUUAAAACAAAAAAAACAGACCGAACCGAUUUUUUUUUAAAUUUCAGUUUCGAUUAUUUCGGUCGAUUUCAGUUUCACAUUUCAAUAUUUCAGUUUUUCGGUUCGGUUUUCGGUUUUUAGCUAAAAAAAAUUAGUUAACCGAAAAAACCGAAAUAUUAUAUAUAUAUUCCUUACACCCUUAAUCAAGUUACUUCAUCCCAUGCCCCAGCCAACCCAUAGCCUACAACCCAUAUUCAAAUUAGUCCCAAAUUCCAAUAAAAAAUCCCUAAACGUAUAAUCUAAAAUCCCUAACUCAGACAACAACUCCCAUCUCUCAACUCUCGUCUCACGUCUGUCCUCAGUCAUCACUCCUCACUCGACUUGGAAUAAUCAGUUACGACUUACGUCGCAGCCCGCUAUCCCGUCGUCUCUCAAUAGUCAACUCUCAUGUCUCAUCUCUCAGUUCGUCAUCUCUUAACUCUCAUCUCUAACUCUUGCCGAGUGCUCGCAUCCCGCAACGCUUCUCAUUGGCCACCGUUCAGUGCUCGCUCGCGACUUGAAGCGUCCCAACUCUCAUAUGGAAAUCUUUAUUUUGAUGGUAAAUUAAUAAUGGAAUCUAAUAAACUUGUGGAAAACAAUACGAGAAGGCAGUAGCAGAGUAAUGUAGCACUCUAGAAGUUGAAGAGCAAAAUCUGUAAGCAUUGUUAGAGAUUCUUGAAGUGAAACAAUAAAAGAAAUUGUUAGAUACACAUUAAGAGCAAAAUCUGAUGAAAACCCAUGGCAAGAAUAUGAAAAGCAUGUAUUGGUCCUCUAUUGUUUUUUUAAUCAUUGAAUGCAAAUAUGCAGCUAUGUGAUUAUUUGUGUGAUUUGUGAACUGUAAUGUAUGACGUCUUUCUGUAAUUAAGUUAUUUAUAGGCAACUCUGUUGACAUUUGUGUUAAAUAAGUAUUCAUGAAGUAGUGUUGAGUCACAAGUGUUUAAUGUCUAUCAUCUUUUAGAGUUUUAGUUACUGUUAGUGUACAUCUGUAAGCAUGCUUGUGGCUAUUUUCCGGUGGAUUUGUAUGUAGAGGACAUCAAAGCAUUUGAUUCUAAUGAGGCUUACGGUAAAUUAGUGACUACUAUCCAUCCUUGAUAAGUAUAAAUAAAUUAACUUUUUUUAAUUUUUGCCCCUGUUAAUUAAAUUUGGUUAAACCGAAAAUCAAAUCGAACCGAUUUUAUUUCAAUUCGGUUUGGUUUCACAAUUUUUCCAAAUCGAAAACCAAAACAUUGAACCGAAAUAUACAAACCGAAUUGAAUCGACCGAACGCCCAGCCCUAUUAGUGAUUGAGUAAGGACUGGACUUUUUAGGCACAACAUAAUCUUUCAUCCACACAGGAGGCUUGCACUGUCUGGUAGUCUUCCUUGAACCAACAUUAAUUGGUGGUUCAUCAACAGGAGGUGGAGGAGUGUCUGCAUUCACAUAUUCUGUGGGAAGUGGCUCUAUUGGACCAACCUCAGGAGGUUCAUCAUGAGAACCUUCCUGAUCAUCAGUGGUAUUAGGAAGCUCUUCAACAUGUGUAUGGCAUGGCUCUGCAGGAGAUGAACAUGUUGGGAGAACUUGGUCUAUGUUUACAUCAUUGUUGGCAUCAUCUACAGUAUCUAGGAAAGGUGAAAGCAAGGGACAAGGACCUGUAUCAUUAGAUUGCAUAACUUUAAAAGGACACACUGCCUCUCUGAACACAACAUCCCUGCUAAUGAACACAACUUUUGCCUCAAGAUCAUAUAGCUUAUAUCCAAUAUUCUGUGUGAAAGAAAACCCCAACAAAACAGCUUUCUUAGCUCUGGCUUCAAACUUUUCACCUCUUGGCAAAACAGUAGCAAAACAUAAACAUCCAAAUACUCUUAUAUGUUCUAGUCUAAGAGCCUUUCCAAAUAGCCUUUCAUAAGGAGACUGUCCAUUUAACACAACUGUAGGCAACCGGUUAAUUAAGUAAACUGCAGUGUGUACACAUUCACCCCAAAAUCUACUAGGAAUAUGAGAUUGCAUUUUUAAAGCUCUACUUGUGUCCAGUAUAUGCCUAUGUUUCCUUUCAAUAAUACCAUUUUGUUGUGGAGUAUAUGGACAACUACUUUUAUGUGUGAUGCCUAAAGAGGAUAACAAUUCAUUUACUUGAUUGUUAAAGCACUCAGUACCAUUGUCAGAUCUCAACACCUUUAUUGCACAAUCGAACUGAUUACAAACCAUUGAUAAAAGCUUCUCAAUACAACUAUUACAUCCUUCUUAGUUUGCAGUAAAGAAAUCCAUGUAAAUCUGCUAAAGUCAUCAACUACAGUCAGAAAAUAAUGUUUUCUAUCAUAAGUUGGAUCUCUAUGAGGUCCCCAAACAUCUAGAUGUACCAGUUGAAACAUCUUAGUAGUAUGAGUAACACUAGAAGGACACUUGAGUAUACACUAUUUUUCCAAAGGGGAAACCAUACAAUCUUCAUGUACUGCCUCAACCAGUUUAUUUUGCAACAUAGGUAGAUGUUGCAAUACUUUCAAAGAGGGAUGUCCCAAUCUAAGAUGCCAAAGUUUAUGUUCUUCUGAGUUCUUGCUUUUGAGUACUGCUCCAACAGUAGAUAGUACUUCUUGUCUGAGAAUAUACAAGCCAUCAUUUUCCUUACCAAUCCCAAUCACCUCUCCAAUAAAGAGAGCCUGCAUUACACAUAAAUCAGGAUAGAAAGACACCAUGCAUUUCAGAUCCUUAGUCAGUUUAGAGACUGACAAUAAGUUGAACUUGAAGUCUGGUACAUGUAAAAUAUUUUUUAACUUGCAUUCCCCAAAAUCACUGCAUCUCCUACAUGUUCUACAUGAAUUUUAUUUCCUGUUGGCACCUGCACCUUAAUACAACUGGAUUCUGAUAAUUUUCUAUAUUCACUCAACAUACUUUCACAAUAUGUAAUAUGAUGUGUAGCUCCUGAAUCAACAAUCCACCUUCCUGUAUUUCCACCAACAUUAUCAGGCAAAGGAUUCAUACCUGCUGCAACAUUGGCAUCAGCCCUACAGGUUCCUGUAGGUGAGGGAGGAGGCAGCAUCUUAGUGACUUGCUUAUAUUUCUCCUUUGUGAAAUAACCUCCUUGGAAAUAGAAUUUUGAUGCUGAUCCAGAUCCUGAUGCCUCAGAAAUGGAGUUAUUUGCAUAUGCUGAUCCAGAUCCUGAUGCUUCAGAAGUGGAGUUAUUUGCAUAUGCUUCAUUCAACGAUCCAGAUCCCUUUCUCUUACUCUUGAAGUCUGCUGGAAAUCCUACAAUUCAAUAACAAUUUUCUCUGGUGUGACCUUUGUAACCACAAUGAUCACACACUAGUCCCAUCCUUCUGCUUUGUGAAUUCUGACCCUGAGUCUUCUUAGCUGGAAAAUUGUUGUUGAUCUGAUUGUUGAAAUUAUGUAGUUGAGCACCUCUUCCUGCCAUCAUUGUCAAAAGUUUUUUACCUCCUUCUGACUGUCCUAGCUUCCUUUGGCUUUCUUCCUGUAUAGCCAUUGCAUAGGCUUGAUUUACACUUGGAACAGAUGGACUCAACAGAAUAGAACUCCUCACCUGAGCAUAGUUCUCAUUCAAACCUACCAAAAACUGCAAUAACCUUUGUUGUUUAACAUGUUCAACAUGUGAGCUUGACUCAACACAAUCACAAGAUGGAGAAGGCACCGUCACAUCCAUCUCAUCCCAUAGAUCUCUCAUUUUGGAGUAAUAAGCUGUCACAGAAUCAGUUCUUUGUGACAAUAUACUAAUCUUUUUCCAUAAGUGAAAAAUCCUUGUCAAACUGGACUUAUCAAAUCUCUCCUUGAAGUCAUUCCAGAUCUUCUUCGAACUAGAAGCAUAUACUAUGCUAGUCAUUAACUCUGGUGCAACUGUUGCACUUAUCCACGACAAAAUAACGACAUCACACCUUUCCCAUCUGACUGCCAGAUCUCCCUUGUAUGAGCUCUUAGCACAUGUGCCAUCAACAAAUCCCAGUUUGUUUUUGACUAGUAGUGCUAAUCGCAUUGACCUGCUCCACACACCAUAGUUUUCUGGCCCUAUGAGCUUCAUAGGAAUCAAGGCAACACCAGGUGCGUCUGAUGCUUGAAGAUGAAGUGGAUGAUUAUGAUUCGUCUAGGGAUUAUCUUCUACCUCUGAACUCUGUGAUUCCACCAUUGCUACAGCUUCAACAAUUACAGAAAUUACAGAUUCAAAUCUUUAAGGAAUCCCUUGAUCAAUGCUCUGAUACCAUAUUGAAUUUGUGAACUCUUACGAAGAAGAAAAGAGAAUGCAGAAACAGAGAUCUCUUGAAAGAAUCUAGAAGAAAGCUACAUUUCAAUGUGUAUCAUGAAUUCAUUGUGUUUCUCCUUUUACAUUUCAGCCUCUAUAUAUAGAGGAUUAUAUUUGUUGUUACUAAUUAACCUCACAACUAACAGUGUUAACCACCUAACUAUCAGCAUAACAAAAGUAAAGGACGUGACUCUAACUAACUUUUGAACUGACCAAUCACAAUACAACAGCUCAAUUUAUCUAUAUUUCAAUAGCUUUCUAUAAUAUUAAGUUAUGUAAUUGCGUUUCACAGUAGGGCUGGUUCAUAUAAGUCAAUUGAAGCCUCAUCAUAAGAUUAGAGAAGUAUAUGGCUAAAAACUAAGAGAGAUCCUUUUAGUCGAGAAAAGAAUCAUUUUUAUUUAGUUGUUCAUCGGAAAAACUCAAGAGUACGAAUAUUUCCCUACGUUAUGAUUCCACUUAAAUAUUUUCCCCAUUUUUUGGGGCAAUGACAGAGUUCAAACUCCCUGUUAUGAUCCUACUUAUCCCACUUAAAUACUUUCCCCGACUUUCAAUCUGCUAAAUCUUAUAUUAUACUAAUUCACUCUUCAUUCAUUCCAUAGUUUUGUUGAAUAUAUUGUAAUAUUCAUUCUUCCAAGUGUUCAGGUUGGAUUCUAUAAACAAUAGAACAAUCAUUAGUGCACAUAAAGUGAUUAGUAUGUACUUACUGCACAUCACAUAAUAACUCAACUCUUAUAGUAUUAGUUGCCUCAUCAUAUAUACUCCCUAGUGUGAAAACUCGAGAGUAUGGAUAUGCCCCUCCAUUAUGAUUCAACUCAAAUACUUUCCCCAACUUAUCCGUUAUGAUUCAACUCAAAUACUUUCCCUAACUUAUCCGUUAUGAUUCAACUCAAAUACUUUCCCUGACUUAUAGUAAAUUUAAUUGCAUUCAAGUACUUCAACUUACAUAGAAUAAUUUUUUUUUUUAAAUUAAAAACUUGCGUGUUUGAAAGUGUGAGAUGCCGAUGUUUCAAAUGGUAUUCCAAUAAGACAAUAUUUUGUCACCUAUUCUGGAAUAGGGGUCAUGUACUACAACUCUUGCACCUAAGAUCAAAGUUAAUGAUGGGGUUUAUAUGUGUAUAUUCAUUGGAAUCAAAAUUUGAGAAAGCUUUCUAUAAUAUCAAAUUCUGAAAUCGCGUUUCACAACAGGGCUGGUUCAUAUACUUCAAUCUUGAAGCAUGGGAGCUUUUUAAGAAGUCAACUUGAAGCCUCAUCAUAAGAUUAGAGAACUAUAUGGCUAAAAACUAAGAGAGAUCUUUUUAGUCGAGAAAAGACUCAUUUUUAUUCGGUUGUUCAUUGGGAAAAGCCAAGAGUACGGAUUUGCCCCUUCGUUUUGAUUCCACUUAAAUACUUUUCCCAAUUUUAGGUCAAGGACAGAGUUCAAACUCCCCGUUAUGAUCCUAUUAAUCCCACUUGAAUACUUUCCUUGACUUUGGAUCAAGGAUAGAGUUCAAACUCGUGAUAUGCACAGUUCUUACUGUAAUUUUUCUAUUGAUUCUCCAACCAGUAAAAUGAAUUUUACUCAAACAUUAGUGAUAAUUUAAAUUCUAAAGGUUAGUAAACUUAUCCUAGAUCCACUGAUAGAUCAAUAGGUCAAUUUCUCUUAUUGCAAAUCCUUAACUUCACACAACAAGUGAAAAUAAUUUCAAAAUAUCAAUGCAAUAAGGUGAAGAAACUCCAAGCUAAAUCCACAAUAGCCCAGAAAAUUGAUUCCGAUGGAUAACCCAUGUAUGAAAUUAAAAAAACACCCAACUAAAAUAAAGAAACCCACAAAGUUAAUUUCGACGGAAAAAAGACCAAAUUAAUUACUGCAUGUGAAGAAACACAACAAAAAUCUGAAAUAGGAAUAACCAAGGAAACAUAGAACAGGGAAAGCAUAAUUACCUAGUCAAAAUUGAAAGCACAAGGAUUAAAAUUAUUGGGACUUCCAAAGCACAAGGAAAAUCGAACAUCAAUAACACACCCAAAUGGAAAAAGAGGCAAAUAUUAACACAACCAGAUCAAAUUUGGUGAAAGAGAGAUAAAUUGGAGAGAUUUCUGAACUUCAAUUUCAGGAAAACAAAGAUGAUACGGAAUAACUGAAUGAAAACACGAAAGAGACUUACCUGGAUAGACUGCUGAAGAAAGGAGAAAGAACUGUGAUGGGCAAAGAAUGGUGGAGUAUAAACUUAUGAAGACAAGUGAGGUGUAAAUUGGAAACACGGGAGAAAGACACGUAGUGAUAAUAGGGAAUUGAAAAGACGAAAAUAC
rnacentral:lncRNA from 1 species